rnacentral:rRNA from 1 species
ACCCGCUGAACUUAAGCAUAUCAAUAAGCGGAGGGACAAGAAACCAACAGGGAUUGCCCUAGUAACGGCGAGUGAAGCGGCAACAGCUCAAAUUUGAAAUCUGGCUCUUUUAGGGUCCGAGUUGUAAUUUGCAGAGGGCGCUUUGGCGUUGGCAGCGGUCCAAGUUCUUUGGAACAGGACGUCACAGAGGGUGAGAAUCCCGUACGUGGUCGCUAUCCUUCGCCGUGUAAAGCCUCUUCGACGAGUCGAGUUGUUUGGGAAUGCAGCUCUAAAUGGGAGGUAAAUUUCUUCUAAAGCUAAAUAUUGGCCAGAGACCGAUAGCGCACAAGUAGAGUGAUCGAAAGAUGAAAAGUACUUUGGAAAGAGAGUCAAAAAGCACGUGAAAUUGUUGAAAGGGAAGCGCUUGCAGCUAGACUUGCUCGCAGUUGCUUAUCUGGACUCUUGUCCAGUGCACUCUUCUGCGGGCAGGCCAGCAUCAGUUUGGGCGGUUAGAUAAAGGUCUCUGUCAUGUACCUCUCUUCGGGGAGGCCUUAUAGGGGAGACGACAUGUAGCCAGCCUGGACUGAGGUCCGCGCAUCUGCUAGGAUGCUGGCGUAAUAGCUGUAAGCGGCCCGUCUUGAAACACGG